AAUGGCCUACCAAGUCUACAAUCUAUAGCUGGUUUUAGAGGAUGAUCAGCAACACUGGGACUGAGACACGGCCCAGACUCCUACGGGAGGCAGCAGUGGGGAAUAUUGCACAAUGGGGGAAACCCUGAUGCAGCCAUGCCGCGUGUGUGAAGAAGGCCUUCGGGUUGUAAAGCACUUUCAGUUGUGAGGAAAAGUUAGUAGUUAAUACCUGCUAGCCGUGACGUUAACAACAGAAGAAGCACCGGCUAACUCCGUGCCAGCAGCCGCGGUAAUACGGAGGGUGCGAGCGUUAAUCGGAAUUACUGGGCGUAAAGCGCACGCAGGCGGUUUGUUAAGCUAGAUGUGAAAGCCCCGGGCUCAACCUGGGAUAGUCAUUUAGAACUGGCAGACUA
rnacentral:rRNA from 1 species